rnacentral:rRNA from 1 species
GACGAACGCUGGCGGCGUGCUUAACACAUGCAAGUCGAACGGAAAGGCCCUGCUUUUGUGGGGUGCUCGAUUGGCGAACGGGUGAGUAACACGUGAGUAACCUCCCCUUGACUUUGGGAUAACUUCAGGAAACUGGGGCUAAUACCGGAUAGGAGCUCCUGCUGCAUGGUGGGGGUUGGAAAGUUUCGGCGGUUGGGGAUGGACUCGCGGCUUAUCAGCUUGUUGGUGGGGUAGUGGCUUACCAAGGCUUUGACGGGUAGCCGGCCUGAGAGGGUGACCGGCCACAUUGGGACUGAGAUACGGCCCAGACUCCUACGGGAGGCAGCAGUGGGGAAUAUUGCACAAUGGGCGGAAGCCUGAUGCAGCAACGCCGCGUGCGGGAUGACAGCCUUCGGGUUGUAAACCGCUUUCGCCUGUGACGAAGCGUGAGUGACGGUAAUGGGUAAAGAAGCACCGGCUAACUACGUG